CUCCCUAUGAUAAUUAGCCAUCUGUCUAUAGCUCUUCAGAGAAAGGCUGUGGGAAAGGGACACCCCAGGAAUGGAUGACAAAUUAAUGUGCUACUUAUCCUCGCCAACUCUUCCAGCUGGCUUAAUUCUCAUCAGCCACUAUAAUUUAUUAACAGUGAGGUGAUGCAGACUGAAGCUGACCACUCAUUGCCAGCUACUAAAGGUUUGAGAUCAUAAUGGAUAUAGUCAUCUCCAAAGCAUAAGAAACAGCAGAGUCGGAAAAGGUGUGUACUGAUAAAUGUUAAGCAACCUCCGAGGAAAAAAAAUGUACAUGUGACACACAUACAUCAUAUACAUGUGUCAU